rnacentral:rRNA from 1 species
CCUACGGGAGACUGCAGUGGGGAAUAUUGGGCAAUGGGCGCAAGCCUUACCCAGCAAUACCGCGUGAGUGAAGAAGGUCUUCGGAUUGGAAAGCUCUGUGAUCAGGGACGAACAGAUGACGGGACCUGAAGAACAAGCCCAGGCUACCGACGUGCCAGCAGCCGCGGUAAAACGGAGGGGGCGAGCGGUGUCCGGAAUGACUGGGCGUAAAGGGUGCGUAGGCGGCCGAAUAAGUUAGAAGUGAAAUACCCAGAGCUUAACGCGGGUGCUGCUUCUCAGACGGUUGAGCUUGAGUGCGGGCGCGGUUACUGGCCUUCCUAGUGUAGCGGUGUAAUGCUUAGAUAUUAGGAGGCACCCCAGCGGCGAAGGCGCUUCACUGGACCGUACCUGACGCUGAGGCACGAAAGUGUGGGUAGCAAACAGGAUUAGCUACCCCUGUAGUC